UGAUCCUGCCAGUAGUGAUAUGCUUGUCUCAAAGAUUAAGCCAUGCAUGUCUGAGUACAGACCGAUCUAAGGUGAAACCGCGAAUGGCUCAUUAAAUCAGUCAUAAUUCCUUGGAUAGUGAAAAACUUCCUCGGAUAACUGUGGAAAAUCCAGAGCUAAUACGUGCAACUGAGCUCCGACCUCGACGCGAGUCUUGGGAAGAGCGCAUUUAUUAGAUUCAAAACUGACCGGCGUACUCCUCCGGGAUGCGCCGUUUGUCGAAAGUUUGAUGACUCCGGAUAACUUAGCCGAGCGCUACGGUCCUAGUACCGGCGCCGUAUCUUUCAAGUGUCUGCCUUAUCAGCUUUCGAUUGUAGGUUAAACGCCUACAAUGGCUGUAACGGGUAACGGGGAAUCAGGGUUCGAUUCCGGAGAGGGAGCCUGAGAAACGGCUACCACAUCUAAGGAAGGCAGCAGGCACGCAAAUUACCCACUCCCAGCCCGGGGAGGUAGUGACGAAAAAUAACGAUGCGAGACUCUUCCGAGGCCUCGCAAUCGGAAUGAGUCCAUUUUAAAUCCUUGGACGAGGAUCCAUUGGAGGGCAAGUCUGGUGCCAGCAGCCGCGGUAAUUCCAGCUCCAAUAGCGUAUAUUAAAGUUGCUGCGGUUAAAAAGCUCGUAGUUGGACUUCCUAGAUCCAUUUCGCGAGCGAGUCGCUCGUCGAACUAGCGUUUCGCGCCAGUCACUCGACGAUGGUCGUUCGGGUGUAAGCCGCGUUUGCGUGCCGUCUCCUCCUUCGUUUCGUGUCGAAUCCUUCGUGGGUGAGCUCGAUUCGUCGGUCUGGCAGGCGGUUUCGUUCGCGCGUUACUACCCUUGCGCGCCUAAGCUUGCGGACGGCGAGACGUUGUCUUCGAGUAUUGCUCGUUCGCGUUUGGUACAAUUAAAAUUUGGUCGGCUCGCUCGGAGUGCUCUUCACCGAGUGUUCCAGGGUGGCCGACACGUUCACUUUGAAAAAAUUAGAGUGCUUAAAGCGGGGCUUAUACGCGGCCUGAAUGUCUGUGCAUGGAAUGAAGUAACAGGACCUCGAUUCUGUUUUUUUUGUCGGUUUUAUUGAACCGAGGUAAUGAUUAAAAGGGACAGACGGUGGCAUUAGUAUUGCGGCGCUAGAGGUGAAAUUCUUGGACCGCUGCAAGACUAACUACUGCGAAAGCGUUUGCCGAGAAUGUUUUCAUUAAUCAAGAACGAAAGUUAGAGGAUCGAAGGCGAUCAGAUACCGCCCUAGUUCUAACCCUAAACUAUGCUAACUAGCGAUCCGCCGGAGUCAUUCCCACGACCCGGCGGGAAGCCCCAGGGAAACCAAAGUCUUUGAGUUCCGGGGGAAGUAUGGUUGCAAAGCUGAAACUUAAAGGAAUUGACGGAAGGGCACCACCAGGAGUGGAGCCUGCGGCUUAAUUUGACUCAACACGGGAAACCUCACCAGGCCCGGACAUCAUAAGGAUUGACAGGUUGAGGGCUCUUCUCGAUUUGAUGGGUGGUGGUGCAUGGCCGUUCUUAGUUGGUGGAGUGAUCUGUCUGGUUGAUUCCGAUAACGAACGAGACUCUACCCUACUAACUAGUCGGCGGAUCGUAACCCUGAGAUGGUUAGUUGGUGAUGGGCGGAAUAUUCGAUUGGGGCGGUCGUUGCUCGUGUUGGUUUGGCGUGGGGAGCAAAGUCCAUUCGUUCGCGAGCGUAAUUCUUUAAUAGGAUGAAACUCGUGUCGAGUGUGGCCAUCUCCUCGCGUCGGCCGCGCGUGUGUACGGUUUAGCCUCGUUUGUUUCCGUCUUAUUACUGCUACUGCUGGGGGCGUCCGUCGCAAUGUAUCUUCUUAGAGGGAUCAGCGGCGUAUAGCCGCACGAGAAAGAGCAAUAACAGGUCUGUGAUGCCCUUAGAUGUUCUGGGCCGCACGCGCGCUACAAUGUAGAGACCAGCGUGCUUUCCCCCUCCGAAAGGAGCGGGUAACCCGUUGAAACCCCUACCCGAUUGGGAUUGGGGAUUGCAAAUAUUUCCCAUAAACGAGGAAUUCCCAGUAAGCGCGAAUCAUUAAUUCGCGCUGAUUACGUCCCUGCCCUUUGUACACACCGCCCGUCGCUACUACCGAUUGAAUGAUUCAGUGAGGGCAUCGGACUGGCGCCUUCGGUUUAGUAACAUAGACCUUAGGCUGACGGAAAGAUGUCCCGAACUUGAUC
rnacentral:rRNA from 1 species